rnacentral:lncRNA from 1 species
UUAACAUGCAAAUAGACUCCCUUUCUUGAGCCUUUGAUAAAGAGCCAGAAGGAAGUUCACAAGGUGGGGCUACUCCAGCCCCAGAAGCCCAGGAGGAGGAGAGUGGGGAGCUCAUUACUGGCCCCUGCCUCGCGGGCCCGGGUGACACCCCCAGAGACAGGGAGCGCUGUCCUACGAGAUGCUUCCAGGAGAUUCUCGCAGGGAAAGAGGUAAAUAAGCGGCCACCUGGGGAAGGAUGCCGAGCCUCAGGCGUUUUCCUCACUGCCUUCAGCGUCCUUGACCAGGCGUCAGGCAAGGCGGCCUCCAGGCCCCCGUCAGCCUUCAAUCCUGGCCAGUGCCCCACCGGCCCGCGGUUCGCUGAGUGACCUCGGGAAGGACCCAGCCGUCGGGCAGUCAGUGCCCAAGGGAUGGUGGCCGAGCGUGGCCUCGGAUUUGCCCUCCGCCGUGCGUGCCGUGCCACAAGUAAAAAGCGAUAUUUGGAACCUCCAGGAGGCCAUCCCCGCAGGUGGCGUUCACCUCUGCUUCACCUCCGCUGACACUGAAAUCCUUCUGGGAGCCAGAGCUCCGUCUGCCUGGGUCCGGGCUGUGGUCUUCCUGGGGCUCAUUGUCACAGGUGAGGUGAAGACAGGGAGGUGUUGGCCUCCAGCUUCUGACCGUUUCCAUCCGAGAAGCGUACGGCGGAGGUGGUGGAGGCAGCCGUUAGGACCCGUCUGUCGCAAAUCCACAGCCUGUUACCUCCCACGGUCCAAGGCCACAGUCUGCUCCGGGUCCCCCAGGCCACCGCGGGUUUUCAGCCCAGCCUGCUCCUUUCUGGAUUCAGGGACUCCUACGAUGGCACACAGUUGUCAUCAGGGUUCAGCUCCCGGUGAAGGGUGACAGGAGGCUGACGCCCCUCCUUGUGGCUGGUGCUCGGCUGGGGGCUGCCCUCAGGGUCUGCUCCGGGUCCCCCAGGCCAGUGGACAGCAGCUCACUUCGCCAAGACCAGCAGGUGCCUCCGCUGCUUCCGGUCUCUGAGCUCGCAGAGGCCCACACCUCUUGGGAAGGCUCUUCUGAUUAGGUCUGGCCCACCCAGGGCGCCGGUCAUUUACCCGAAGUCAACCCCACUAGCGAUCUUAUUACACCUGAAAACAUUUAGUCAUCUUUGCCCUAAACCACAACGCGAUCCCGUCGCCUUCACCACAUCUGCUGGCUGGAAGGAGUCACGGUCCUGCCCACCCUCAAGGGGAGGGGCUAUAAACAGGGGGCUCACUGCGCCGCACCCUGGGGCGCAGCUGUGACAAGAACUGACUCAGGUCACUCGGUGUGGGUGGCACACGUCCGUGAACUCCUGGGGUCAGGAAUGUGAAAUUAGGAGAGAGGGGGAACCAAGAUAUCUGGGGAGACUGCCAGGUCCUGCGCCGCCCUGACGAGCCUCCUCACACGGGUCACUGCCUCGCCACUUGGCCCGACCCUGGACCCGGCCCUGGCACAGGUCGCCUCCCCGAGGAAGCAGGUCAUUUGGAAGCACACAGUGGAGCCCCUCUCUGCCUGCCCCCCCAUCUGGCCGCCACCUCCUCCCCCACUGCCCCUUCCCCUCCCCUGCUGCACCUUCUCCCCGUCCCCUAUGCCCUCUUCU